AGAGUUUGAUCCUGGCUCAGGAUGAACGCUAGCGGCAGGCCUAAUACAUGCAAGUCGAACGGGUGGUAGCAAUACCAUAGUGGCGCACGGGUGCGUAACGCGUAACCAACCUACCCGAAUCUGGGGGAUAGCCCGCCGAAAGGCGGAUUAAUACCGCAUAAUACUUGUGACCGGCAUCGGUUAUUAGUUAAAGAUUUAUUGGAUUCGGAUGGGGUUGCGUGCCAUUAGCUAGUUGGCGGGGUAACGGCCCACCAAGGCGACGAUGGCUAGGGGAGCUGAGAGGCUGGUCCCCCACACGGGCACUGAGAUACGGGCCCGACUCCUACGGGAGGCAGCAGUAGGGAAUAUUGGGCAAUGGGCGAGAGCCUGACCCAGCCAUGCCGCGUGCAGGAUGAAGGCUUUCUGAGUCGUAAACUGCUUUUGCCAGGGAAGAAAAAAGGGGAUGCGUCCCCUACUGACGGUACCUGGUGAAUAAGCACCGGCUAACUCCGUGCCAGCAGCCGCGGUAAUACGGAGGGUGCAAGCGUUGUCCGGAUUUAUUGGGUUUAAAGGGUGCGUAGGCGGUGCUUUAAGUCUGGGGUGAAAGCCCGUUGCUCAACAACGGAACUGCCCUGGAAACUGGAGCACUUGAGUACAGACGAGGGUGGCGGAAUGGAUGGUGUAGCGGUGAAAUGCAUAGAUACCAUCCAGAACCCCGAUUGCGAAGGCAGCUGCCUAGACUGUUACUGACGCUGAGGCACGAAAGCGUGGGGAGCGAACAGGAUUAGAUACCCCAGUAGUCC
rnacentral:rRNA from 1 species